rnacentral:rRNA from 1 species
UACGGAGGGUGCAAGCGUUAAUCGGAAUUACUGGGCGUAAAGCGUGCGCAGGCGGUUUGUUAAGUCCGCUGUGAAAUCCCCGAGCUCAACUUGGGAAUUGCAGUGGAUACUGGCAAGCUGGAGUAUGGUAAAGGAAGGUGGAAUUCCCGGUGUAGCAGUGAAAUGCGUAGAGAUCGGGAGGAACACCAGUGGCGAAGGCGGCCUUCUGGACCAAUACUGACGCUCAUGCACGAAAGCGUGGGGAGCAAACAGG